UACAGAGGGUGCGAGCGUUGUCCGGAAUCACUGGGCGUAAAGGGCGCGUAGGUGGUGGCUUAAGCGUGCGGUGAAAGCUCGGGGCUCAACCCCGAGUCGGCCGUGCGAACUGGGCUCACUGGAGCAUAGUAGAGGCAGGUGGAAUUCCGGGUGUAGCGGUGGAAUGCGUAGAUAUCUGGAGGAACACCGGUGGCGAAGGCGGCAUCCUGGACCGGCAUUGACGCUGAGGCGCGAAAGCCAGGGGAGCAAACGGG
rnacentral:rRNA from 1 species